UGGGGAAUAUUGGACAAUGGGCGCAAGCCUGAUCCAGCCAUGCCGCGUGAGUGAUGAAGGCCCUAGGGUUGUAAAGUUCUUUCACCGGUGAAGAUAAUGACGGUAACCGGAGAAGAAGCCCCGGCUAACUUCGUGCCAGCAGCCGCGGUAAUACGAAGGGGGCUAGUGUUGUUCGGAUUUACUGGGCGUAAAGCGCACGUAGGCGGACUUUUAAGUCAGGGGUGAAAUCCCGGGGCUCAACCCCGGAACUGCCUUUGAUACUGGAAGUCUUGAGUAUGGUAGAGGUGAGUGGAAUUCCGAGUGUAGAGGUGAAAUUCGUAGAUAUUCGGAGGAACACCAGUGGCGAAGGCGGCUCACUGGACCAUUACUGACGCUGAGGUGCGAAAGCGUGGGGAGCAAACAGG
rnacentral:rRNA from 1 species